UCUUCUUGAUCCUUGAAUUCUGUGAAGCUCAAAUAGACAACAAAGCUUUGUGGAACUGAUUAGGUAUUAGCACAAAUAUCUAGCCUUUAUCAUGUUGAGCCUCCUCAAUAAAUGUUACUCUCUAUUUUUUAUAUUUUCAUUUUAUAGAGCAGAAAAAUAUUUAUUUUAUUUUUAUACCACCACAGUGAAUGUACUUAUGGGUUUUAUGCCACUCGUAUACUCACAUGGGGCUUACUGUUUUUUAACAUUUUUAUUUUCUUUUCAAGAUAGUAUGAAAAUGAUUAACUAAGCAAACUAUUUUAAAUAAUUGAAAGGAAA
rnacentral:lncRNA from 1 species